GGCAGCCAAGGAAUGAACCACGAACGCAAUCAAACACAAGAGAAGAGGAGACGACGAGCGGGAAAAAGGGCGCGCGCGGGAAUGUUUAAAUGAGCGAGACAUGGCCUAGUUGGAGGCCAUGUUGGAGGCCAUGAGCUCGGGUGCGAAGCAAAUAUGUUUGAAGGCUUUUUCUUGUCCAGUCUCACCGCCUCGAACUUGUGUACACUUUUUCCCUCUCUGGACGGGAUCCGAUCCACCGGAGCGAUCAUCAUGGCAUGGCAAAUGGACCAACCCUAAUCCGAGACAACGAUGAUUCAAAGUCAGGGCGGAUGUGCCCAAGUGCCAAGACUUGUCGAGGUGCAAUCUAAUACAAUGAUGAAGUUGGUCCCGAUCGUCACACCUUGAGCCCGCUAUCGUCUCGCGUGAAUGUCAGUCAGAGCCAAAAAAAGUUUCCCACCAUUGGCCUUGCAUCUUUCACAAGUCACAGCACGAAAGGCUUUGGUCUUUUCGGUCCUUUUCUUCCAUUUUUCUACCUUUUUAUGACGAAGAAAACUUUGUGGUGCUUUCUCGGCAUUCUUGAACCCUCCGGAUGGUCGUGCGUACUCUUUUGCCAACAAAUAGCCUUUCUCGGGGGUCCCCAGCCAUGAAAAUCAUUCCGGUUAAACAAGCAAAGAACCAUCUGAAAUUCUGAGAACGCAAAGUGGUUCCACGUUUCUCCCCCAAGCCAAAAGAGUGCAAGUGGAAUCCAAGAAGGACGCUCAUACCUUACUUCCGUCCAAACUACACUGUCAAGUGGUUUGUUUCGCGGAAUCCUGACGUGUCACCAAGGUCUGCGGGCUCGCUUUUUUUUCUCGUUCUUGGAGGCAAUGGUAUCCAAGCACUAAAUUGAAUCACGCCCAAGACGACCAUAAAUCUUAUCCCGGCAAGAGAGGCGAUUUCUUUCUCAGCGACCCAGUAAUACCUCAUCAGUUUCCGGUUUCUCUCUCCCCUCUUCCCCUUUGGCGUGCAGACUUAAAACCCUGGUUGUGCAGUUCCAUUUACCCAAUGGCACAAGCCCAAAGGAACUAGGUAAUUCUUUUGGCAAAAAAAGAAGCCUACAGAGUUUCCUAGAAUUCUCAAAUGUGGCACAUAUAUUUAUCAUAAUCUAAUUCAAUCAUCAUACAAUGAUAGAGAGAAUAUGACUGAAUACAUAACAUAAAAACAAGAGAUGAUUAUAAGGAGGAAGCAAAGCAUAAUUUAGAUCAAGGUCGUUGAGGGUGAAGAAGGAAUGAAGAAAGAAACAGGAGAUAGAAAGAGAAUGAGCCGAAAUUCGAAAUUCAAGACGAUUGUGUUAAGUGUGGCCAAUCCCAUUCGAUGGAGCAAAAUUAUCGAUUAUAAAUAUUAUACACACAAAAAAUUCUAUCAACCCGUGCCCAGUUUGAUACUUCAUCUAAA